CAGUAGCCGCGGUAAUACGAAGGGGGCUAGCGUUGUUCGGAUUUACUGGGCGUAAAGCGCACGUAGGCGGACCUUUAAGUCAGGGGUGAAAUCCCAGAGCUCAACUCUGGAACUGCCUUUGAUACUGGAAGUCUUGAGUAUGGUAGAGGUGAGUGGAAUUCCGAGUGUAGAGGUGAAAUUCGUAGAUAUUCGGAGGAACACCAGUGGCGAAGGCGGCUCACUGAACCAUUACUGACGCUGAGGUGCGAAAGCGUGGGGAGCAAACAGGAUUAGAUACCCGCGUAGUCCCUGUCUCUUAUAC
rnacentral:rRNA from 1 species